UCCGGUUUGUCACCGGCAGUCUCGCAUGAGUCCCCGCCAUUACGCGCUGGCAACAUAGAACGAGGGUUGCGCUCGUUGCGGGACUUAACCCAACAUCUCACGACACGAGCUGACGACAACCAUGCACCACCUGUAUACCGCCCUUGCGGACCUGACAUCUCUGCCAGUUUUCGGUAUAUGUCAAGCCUUGGUAAGGUUCUUCGCGUUGCGUCGAAUUAAGCCACAUGCUCCGCCGCUUGUGCGGGCCCCCGUCAAUUCCUUUGAGUUUUAGCCUUGCGGCCGUACUCCCCAGGCGGGGCGCUUAAUGCGUUAGCUACGGCACGGAACCCGUGGAAACAGAUCCCACACCUAGUGCCCAACGUUUACGGCGUGGACUAC
rnacentral:misc_RNA from 1 species